rnacentral:rRNA from 1 species
AACGAACGCUGGCGGCAGGCCUAACACAUGCAAGUCGAGCGCCUCGCAAGAGGAGCGGCAGACGGGUGAGUAACGCGUGGGAAACUACCCUUUGGUACGGAACAACUCGGCGAAAGCUGAGCUAAUACCGUAUGUGUCCUCCAGGAGAAAGAUUUAUCGCCAAAGGAUGUGCCCGCGUCGGAUUAGCUAGUUGGUGGGGUAACGGCCCACCAAGGCGACGAUCCAUAGCUGGUUUGAGAGGAUGAUCAGCCACACUGGGACUGAGACACGGCCCAGACUCCUACGGGAGGCAGCAGUGGGGAAUCUUCGGCAAUGGGCGCAAGCCUGACCGAGCCAUGCCGCGUGAGCGAUGAAGGCCUUAGGGUUGUAAAGCUCUUUCGCCAGGGAUGAUAAUGACAGUACCUGGUAAAGAAACCCCGGCUAACUCCGUGCCAGCCGCCGCUGUAAGAC